rnacentral:rRNA from 1 species
CCAAUAGCGUAUAUUAAAGUUGUUGCAGUUAAAAAGCUCGUAGUUGAAUUUCGGGAUUAGUACGCUGGUCGUGCCUUCGGUAUGUACUGGUGUUACUGGUUCCUACCUUCUGACGAACCGUCAUGUCAUUAAUUUGGUGUGGCGGGGAAUCAGGACUGUUACUUUGAAAAAAUUAGAGUGUUUAAAGCAGGCUCGCGCUUGAAUACAUUAGCAUUGAAUAAUGAAAUAGGACGUUCGAUCCUAUUUUGUUGGUUUCUAGGAUUGACGUAAUGAUUAAUAGGGAUAGUGGGGGGCAUUAGUAUUCAAUUGUCAGAGGUGAAAUUCUUGGAUUUAUUGAAGAAUACCUACUGCGAAAGCAUUUGCCAAGGAUUUUUUCAUUAAUCAAGAACGAAAGUUAGGGGAUCGAAGACGAUCAGAUACCGUCGUAGUCUUAACCAUAAACUAUGCCGACUAGGGAUCGGAUGAUGUUAUUUUUAAUGACUCAUUCGGCGCCUUACG